rnacentral:rRNA from 1 species
UCCAGUCUGCUCACUGAUAAUUUAAAGAGCCGCAGUAUAUUGACUGUGCAAAGGUAGCAUAAUCAAUAGUUUUUUAAUUGAAAACUUGUAUGAAAGAUUAGACGAGAAAUUUAUUUUCUUUAUUUUAAAUAAUUAAAUUUUAAAUUUAAGUGAAAAUGCUUAAUUGAAUUUAAAAGACGAGAAGACCCUAUAGAUUUUUAUUAUUUAAAUAAAUUUAAUAAAAAAAUUUAGUAUAAUAAUUUCAUUGGGGUGAUUUUGUAAUAAAAUAAACUUAAUUUUUUAAAACCAUAAAUAAUUGAAAUUUUUGAUCUAAAUUUUUUAAUGAAAAGAUUAAAUUACCUUAGGGAUAACAGCGUAAUUUUUUUUAAGAGUUCAUAUCUAUAAAAAAGUUUGCGACCUCGAUGUUGAAUUAAGAUAAUAUAUUGAAGCAG